ensembl:lncRNA
GAACAGUGGGUUAACUGGUCUAGGAACAGAGGGUUAACUGGUCUAGGAACAGUGGGUUAACUGGUCUAGGAACAGUGGGUUAACUGGUCUAGGAACAGUGGGUUAACUGGUCUAGGAACAGAGGGUUAACUGGUCUAGGAACAGAGGGUUAACUGGUCUAGGGACAGUGGGUUAACUGGUCUAGGGACAGUGGGUUAACUGGUCUAGGAACAGUGGGUUAACUGGUCUAGGGACAGUGGGUUAACUGGUCUAGGGACAGUGGGUUAACUGGUCUAGGAACAGUGGGUUAACUGGUCUAGGAACGGUGGGUUAACUGGUCUAGGAACGGUGGGUUAACUGGUCUAGGAACGGUGGGUUAACUGGUCUAGGAACGGUGGGUUAACUGGUCUAGGAACGGUGGGUUAACUGGUCUAGGAACA